GAUGAAGAACGUAGCGAAAUGCGAUACGUAAUGUGAAUUGCAGAAUUCAGUGAAUCAUCGAGUCUUUGAACGCACAUUGCGCCCCCUGGUAUUCCGGGGGGCAUGCCUGUCCGAGCGUCAUUGCUGCCCUCAAGCACGGCUUGUGUGUUGGGCCUCCGUCCUCCUCCCGGGGAACGGGCCCGAAAGGCAGCGGCGGCACCGCGUCCGGUCCUCGAGCGUAUGGGGCUUCGUCACCCGCUCUUGUAGGCCCGGCCGGCGCUUGCCGACACAUCAAUCUUUUUUCCAGGUUGACCUCGGAUCAGGUAGGGAUACCCGCUGAACUUAAGCAUAUCAAUAAGCGGAGGA
rnacentral:misc_RNA from 1 species